rnacentral:rRNA from 1 species
AGAGUUUGAUCCUGGCUCAGGACGAACGCUGGCGGCGUGCCUAAUACAUGCAAGUCGAACGCACUCUCGUUUAGAUUGAAGGAGCUUGCUCCUGAUUGAUAAACAUUUGAGUGAGUGGCGGACGGGUGAGUAACACGUGGGUAACCUGCCCUAAAGUGGGGGAUAACAUUUGGAAACAGAUGCUAAUACCGCAUAAAACCUAACACCGCAUGGUGUAGGGUUGAAAGAUGGUUUCGGCUAUCACUUUAGGAUGGACCCGCGGUGCAUUAGUUAGUUGGUGAGGUAAAGGCUCACCAAGACCGUGAUGCAUAGCCGACCUGAGAGGGUAAUCGGCCACACUGGGACUGAGACACGGCCCAGACUCCUACGGGAGGCAGCAGUAGGGAAUCUUCCACAAUGGACGAAAGUCUGAUGGAGCAACGCCGCGUGAGUGAAGAAGGUUUUCGGAUCGUAAAACUCUGUUGUUGGAGAAGAAUGUAUCUGAUAGUAACUGAUCAGGUAGUGACGGUAUCCAACCAGAAAGCCACGGCUAACUACGUGCCAGCAGCCGCGGUAAUACGUAGGUGGCAAGCGUUGUCCGGAUUUAUUGGGCGUAAAGCGAGCGCAGGCGGUUUCUUAAGUCUGAUGUGAAAGCCUUCGGCUCAACCGAAGAAGUGCAUCGGAAACUGGGAAACUUGAGUGCAGAAGAGGACAGUGGAACUCCAUGUGUAGCGGUGAAAUGCGUAGAUAUAUGGAAGAACACCAGUGGCGAAGGCGGCUGUCUGGUCUGUAACUGACGCUGAGGCUCGAAAGCAUGGGUAGCAAACAGGAUUAGAUACCCUGGUAGUCCAUGCCGUAAACGAUGAGUGCUAGGUGUUGGAGGGUUUCCGCCCUUCAGUGCCGCAGCUAACGCAUUAAGCACUCCGCCUGGGGAGUACGACCGCAAGG